rnacentral:rRNA from 1 species
ACUGCGAGUGAAGCGGGAAGAGCUCAAAUUUAAAAUCUGGUAGCUUCGCUGCCCGAGUUGUAAUCUGGAGAAGCAUUUUCCGCGUUGUACCGUGUACAAGUUUCUUGGAACAGAAUAUCAUAGAGGGUGAGAAUCCCGUCCAUGACACGGACUACCAAUGCUUUGUGAUAUGCUCUCGAAGAGUCGAGUUGUUUGGGAAUGCAGCUCAAAAUGGGUGGUAAGUUCCAUCUAAAGCUAAAUAUUGGCGAGAGACCGAUAGCGAACAAGUACCGUGAGGGAAAGAUGAAAAGCACUUUGGAAAGAGAGUUAAACAGUACGUGAAAUUGUUGAAAGGGAAACGCUUGAAGUCAGUCGCGUUGAUGAAGACUCAGCCUUGCUAUUGCGUGGUGUAUUCCUUUGUUAACGGGUCAACAUCAAUUUUGGUUGGUGGAUAAAGGUUGGAGGAAUGUGGCAUCCUUGGAUGUGUUAUAGCCUUCUUCCGUAUACACUGGCUGGGAUUGAGGUCUGCAGCACGCCUUUAUGGCCGGGGUUCGCCCACGUAUCGUGCU